rnacentral:rRNA from 1 species
GACAGAGGGGUGCAAACGUUGCUUGGAAUCACUGGGCGUAAAGGGCGUGUAGGCGGGAAGGAAAGUCAGAUGUGAAAUCCCCCAGGCUCAACCUGGGAACUGCAUUUGAAACUCCCUUUCUUGAGUACCGGAGAGGAAAGUGGAAUUCCUGGUGUAGAGGUGAAAUUCGUAGAUAUCAGGAGGAACACCAGUGGCGAAGGCGGCUACCUGGACCAGCACUGACACUGAGGCACGAAAGCGUGGGGAGCAAACAGG